CCUACGGGAGGCAGCAGUGGGGAAUCUUGCGCAAUGGGCGAAAGCCUGACGCAGCCAUGCCGCGUGAAUGAUGAAGGUCUUAGGAUUGUAAAAUUCUUUCACCGGGGACGAUAAUGACGGUACCCGGAGAAGAAGCCCCGGCUAACUUCGUGCCAGCAGCCGCGGUAAUACGAAGGGGGCUAGCGUUGCUCGGAAUUACUGGGCGUAAAGGGAGCGUAGGCGGACAUUUAAGUCAGGGGUGAAAUCCCAGAGCUCAACUCUGGAACUGCCUUUGAUACUGGAUGUCUUGAGUGUGAGAGAGGUAUGUGGAACUCCGAGUGUAGAGGUGAAAUUCGUAGAUAUUCGGAAGAACACCAGUGGCGAAGGCGACAUACUGGCUCAUUACUGACGCUGAGGCUCGAAAGCGUGGGGAGCAAACAGGAUUAGAUACCCUGGUAGUCCACGCCGUAAACGAUGAUUGCUAGUUGUCGGGAUGUUUACAUCUCGGUAACGCAGCUAACGCAUUAAGCAAUCCGCCUGGGGAGUACGUCGCAGAUAAACUACAANAGAUAGAGCGNGAGACGNGCCGACGGACGACGACGAGGGAGAGG
rnacentral:rRNA from 1 species